rnacentral:rRNA from 1 species
UACGGGGGGGGGCAAGCGUUGUUCGGAAUUACUGGGCGUAAAGGGCGCGUAGGCGGCCACCGCAAGUCGACUGUGAAAUCUCCGGGCUUAACUCGGAAAGGUCAGCCGAUACUGCGGGGCUAGAGUGCAGAAGGGGCAACUGGAAUUCUCGGUGUAGCGGUGAAAUGCGUAGAUAUCGAGAGGAACACCUGCGGCGAAGGCGGGUUGCUGGGCUGACACUGACGCUGAUUGUGCGAAAGCUAGGGGAGCGAACGGG